CCUACGGGUGGCAGCAGUGAGGAAUAUUGGUCAAUGGCCGUAAGGCUGAACCAGCCAAGUAGCGUGAGGGAAGACUGCCCUAUGGGUUGUAAACCUCUUUUAUGCGGGGAUAAAGGUGUCCACGUGUGGAUGUUUGCAGGUACCGCAUGAAUAAGGACCGGCUAAUUCCGUGCCAGCAGCCGCGGUAAUACGGAAGGUCCGGGCGUUAUCCGGAUUUAUUGGGUUUAAAGGGAGCGUAGGCGGGUCUUUAAGCGUGCCGUGAAAUUUUGGGGCUCAACCAUGAGGGUGCGGUGCGAACUGGAGGCCUUGAGAGCGCGGAAGGCAGGCGGAAUGCGGGGUGUAGCGGUGAAAUGCUUAGAUAUCGCGAAGAACCCCGAUUGCGAAGGCAGCCUGCCGCAG
rnacentral:rRNA from 1 species